GACGAACGCUGGCGGCGUGCUUAACACAUGCAAGUCGAACGGAAAGGCCCUGCUUUUGUGGGGUGCUCGAGUGGCGAACGGGUGAGUAACACGUGAGUAACCUGCCCUUGACUUUGGGAUAACUUCAGGAGACUGGGGCUAAUACCGGAUAGGAGCUCCUGCUGCAUGGUGGGGGUUGGAAAGUUUCGGCGGUUGGGGAUGGACUCGCGGCUUAUCAGCUUGUUGGUGGGGUAGUGGCUUACCAAGGCUUUGACGGGUAGCCGGCCUGAGAGGGUGACCGGCCACAUGGGGACUGAGAUACGGCCCAGACGCCUACGGGAGGCAGCAGUGGGGAAUAUUGCACAAUGGGCGGAAGCCUGAUGCAGCAACGCCGCGUGCGGGAUGACGGCCUUCGGGUUGUAAACCGCUUUCGCCUGUGACGAAGCGUGAGUGACGGUAAUGGGUAAAGAAGCACCGGCUAACUACGUG
rnacentral:rRNA from 1 species